rnacentral:rRNA from 1 species
UGCCAGCCGCCGCGGUAAUACGGAGGGUGCAAGCGUUAAUCGGAAUUACUGGGCGUAAAGCGCACGCAGGCGGUCUGUUAAGCUAGAAGUGAAAGCCCCGCGCUCAACGUGGGAAGGCCUUUUAGAACUGGCAGACUAGAGUUUUGGAGAGGGGAGUGGAAUUCCAGGUGUAGCGGUGAAAUGCGUAGAUAUCUGGAGGAACAUCAGUGGCGAAGGCGACUCUCUGGCCAAAGACUGACGCUCAUGUGCGAAAGUGUGGGUAGCGAACAGGAUUAGAUA